UGUGCUCUGCAAAGAUUUUGCUUAAUGGU
rnacentral:piRNA from 1 species